UGCUGGAGGUAUCAGAAGUGCGAAUGCUGACAUAAGUAACGAUAAAGCGGGUGAAAAGCCCGCUCGCCGGAAGACCAAGGGUUCCUGUCCAACGUUAAUCGGGGCAGGGUGAGUCGACCCCUAAGGCGAGGCCGAAAGGCGUAGUCGAUGGGAAACGGGUUAAUAUUCCCGUACUUGGUGUUACUGCGAAGGGGGGACGGAGAAGGCUAUGUUGGCCGGGCGACGGUUGUCCCGGUUUAAGCGUGUAGGUGUGUGUUCCAGGUAAAUCCGGUUCACUUUAACACUGAGGCGUGACGACGAGGCACUACGGUGCUGAAGCAACAAAUGCCCUGCUUCCAGGAAAAGCCUCUAAGCAUCAGGUAACAUCAAAUCGUACCCCAAACCGACACAGGUGGUCAGGUAGAGAAUACCAAGGCGCUUGAGAGAACUCGGGUGAAGGAACUAGGCAAAAUGGUGCCGUAACUUCGGGAGAAGGCACGCUGACACGUAGGUGAAGUGAUUUACUCAUGGAGCUGAAGUCAGUCGAAGAUACCAGCUGGCUGCAACUGUUUAUUAAAAACACAGCACUGUGCAAACACGAAAGUGGACGUAUACGGUGUGACGCCUGCCCGGUGCCGGAAGGUUAAUUGAUGGGGUCAGCGCAAGCGAAGCUCCUGAUCGAAGCCCCGGUAAACGGCGGCCGUAACUAUAACGGUCCUAAGGUAGCGAAAUUCCUUGUCGGGUAAGUUCCGACCUGCACGAAUGGCGUAAUGAUGGCCAGGCUGUCUCCACCCGAGACUCAGUGAAAUUGAACUCGCUGUGAAGAUGCAGUGUACCCGCGGCAAGACGGAAAGACCCCGUGAACCUUUACUAUAGCUUGACACUGAACAUUGAGCCUUGAUGUGUAGGAUAGGUGGGAGGCUUUGAAGUGUGGACGCCAGUCUGCAUGGAGCCGACCUUGAAAUACCACCCUUUAAUGUUUGAUGUUCUAACGUGGACCCGUGAUCCGGGUUGCGGACAGUGUCUGGUGGGUAGUUUGACUGGGGCGGUCUCCUCCUAAAGAGUAACGGAGGAGCACGAAGGUUGGCUAAUCCUGGUCGGACAUCAGGAGGUUAGUGCAAUGGCAUAAGCCAGCUUGACUGCGAGCGUGACGGCGCGAGCAGGUGCGAAAGCAGGUCAUAGUGAUCCGGUGGUUCUGAAUGGAAGGGCCAUCGCUCAACGGAUAAAAGGUACUCCGGGGAUAACAGGCUGAUACCGCCCAAGAGUUCAUAUCGACGGCGGUGUUUGGCACCUCGAUGUCGGCUCAUCACAUCCUGGGGCUGAAGUAGGUCCCAAGGGUAUGGCUGUUCGCCAUUUAAAGUGGUACGCGAGCUGGGUUUAGAACGUCGUGAGACAGUUCGGUCCCUAUCUGCCGUGGGCGCUGGAGAACUGAGGGGGGCUGCUCCUAGUACGAGAGGACCGGAGUGGACGCAUCACUGGUGUUCGGGUUGUCAUGCCAAUGGCACUGCCCGGUAGCUAAAUGCGGAAGAGAUAAGUGCUGAAAGCAUCUAAGCACGAAACUUGCCCCGAG
rnacentral:rRNA from 1 species